rnacentral:misc_RNA from 1 species
UACGGAGGGUCCAAGCGUUAUCCGUAAUCAUUGGGUUUAAAGGGUCCGCAGGCGGGCAAUUAAGUCAGGGGUGAAAUGGUGCGGCUCAACCGUAGCACUGCCCUUGAUACUGGUUGUCUUGAGUUAUAGUGAAGUGGCCGGAAUAUGUAGUGUAGCGGUGAAAUGCAUAGAUAUUACAUAGAACACCGAUCGCGAAGGCAGGUCACUAACCACUAACUGACGCUGAUGGACGAAAGCGUGGGUAGCAAACAGG